AGACUGUCUAAAUCUGAAAUAAAGAAAACAUUUUAUCAAUUAUUGUAUAUAUCGAAAUACUAGAUACCUAGAACGUAGUUCUAGGUACGGCCAAAUCAACUACCAGUAUCAAGUAUCGACGUAACUACAACUCGUGUUCUUUUCGAGUUACCAAGAAUCUGUUAGCAUCGACAAAAAAAAAGUAAACAAACCGAGAGAGACAAAAAAACUUGCGUAGACUAAGCGACGUUGCCGGAUUUAUUUAGUUUUAAGCAAAUCUUCCCAGCAUUCAAUUGAAAUCAACUAAGGUAAACUUGUAAAGUAAUUGUUGGACAUAUCUUAUUUUAAAAUCUGUAAGCACAACAAUUUUGCCAGUUUUAGGUUCAUUGUGGGAGGCGGUUGUCUAAUUUCGAGGAAAGAUACGGUGAGCAUUGACAACAGUGUAGCAAAAAUAAAAACAUGUUUUAUCUAAUAGUGAAUAUAUAAUUUUUUUAAAGUUAAAAAUGUUUUGUCUAGUCUAUCAAAUUAUGAUUUUAUAACAAGAGUUCGAAAUAAACAUCGUACCAUCAUUA